rnacentral:rRNA from 1 species
UACGUAGGGUGCAAGCGUUAAUCGGAAUUACUGGGCGUAAAGCGUGCGCAGGCGGUGAUGUAAGACAGAUGUGAAAUCCCCGGGCUCAACCUGGGAACUGCAUUUGUGACUGCAUCGCUGGAGUGCGGCAGAGGGGGAUGGAAUUCCGCGUGUAGCAGUGAAAUGCGUAGAUAUGCGGAGGAACACCGAUGGCGAAGGCAAUCCUCUGGGCCUGCACUGACGCUCAUGCACGAAAGCGUGGGGAGCAAACAGG